AGUAACCUGCCUUGGAGUGGGGAAUAACAGCUGGAAACAGCUGCUAAUACCGCAUAAUAUAUCUGUGUCGCAUGGCACUGGAUAUCAAAGAUUUAUCGCUCUGAGAUGGACUCGCGUCUGAUUAGCUGGUUGGCGGGGUAACGGCCCACCAAGGCGACGAUCAGUAGCCGGACUGAGAGGUUGGCCGGCCACAUUGGGACUGAGACACGGCCCAGACUCCUACGGGAGGCAGCAG
rnacentral:rRNA from 1 species